rnacentral:RNase_P_RNA from 1 species
AGAGCUGGCCAGACAAUCGCCGCCUGUUUACAGGGGGAGGAAAGUCCGGGCUCCAUAGGGCAGAGUGCCAGGUAACGCCUGGGAGGCGUGAGCCUACGGAAAGUGCAGCAGAGAGCAAACCGCCUAAGCGCGUAAGCGCCGGUAAGGGUGAAAAGGUGCG